rnacentral:rRNA from 1 species
ACGCUCGACACCUACGGGAGGAGCAGUGGGGAAUAUUGCACAAUGGGGGAAACCCUGAUGCAGCGACGCCGCGUGGAGGAAGAAGGUCUUCGGAUUGUAAACUCCUGUUGUUGGGGAAAAAGAGGAUGGUACCCAACAAGGAAGUGACGGCUAACUACGUGCCUGCAGCCGCGGUAAUCUGAGCGGGCUGGCAAGGC